rnacentral:rRNA from 1 species
AAUGAACGCUGGCGGCGGGCCUAAUACAUGCAAGUCGAGCGACCAUACAAGAAGCUCUCUCCCCUGCCGUUAGCGGCGGACGGGCGGGUAACAAAUGCAUAAGCUUCCUCUACGACGGUGAUAACUUCGGUAAACCGGAGCCACUACCGGCUCAUAUAUCUAACCGCAUAGUUCAAUAGUGCACGACGCUUUUGCUGACAUUUUUAGCUGGUUCCGCGCCGCAUUAGCUAGUUGGUAAGGUCACGGCUUACCAAGGCAGCGAUGCGUAGCUGACCUGAGAGGGUGAUCAGCCACACUGGAACUGAGACACGGUCCAGACUCCUACGGGAGGCAGCAGUAGGGAAUCUUCCACAAUGGGCGAAAGCCUGAUGGAGCAACGCCGCGUGAGUGAUGAAGGUCUUCGGAUUGUAAAACUCUGUUGUUAGGGAAGAAAAAAUGUGUAAGUAUCUAUGCACGUCUUGACGGUACCUAAUGAGAAAGCCCCGGCUAACUACGUG